ACCGGUUGGUCCAUGUCGGUACAGAAACAACUCACACACGCACAGAUGUGAGAUGUCUGCUCCUGAUCCCCUUUCUCUCUCUAGUGCUGCCACCCAUCGCUCAGCUUCGGAUGUUCCGCCGUCAAUCGACAGCGCCAACCACGCCCGUGUACUCUCCCGCGCUCAAAUCUGGCAGCUCUCUGGUUCUAAUCCACGCCGGCAAUCUUCACCUUUCCCGAUACCUUGAUCUCACUCCGUCCGCCAGGUACAAUUUCAGCGGCUGACCGGCUCUGCCAAUCGGCACCGUCACCGCGCCGCGGCGUGGUCCAUUCCUUGCUGAGUUCCGGAAGUUGGGCUCGAUCUCUUGAUCAGUACGUCUGGAGAGCAGAAUCGCCAGGGGGUUUUCAACAAAUUUGCUUAUUGUCAGUAAAAUGGUUACAGCACAUCGCUGAAGCUUUCUUCGGCUCCGUUUGCUUAUCGACCGCUGCCGCCUCGCCGUUCUGCUCCCUUGUGCACCGCACGACUAACACUUGUUCGCGGUGUGGCUGCGGGGCGAUGGACCUUGGCCGCUUCGGCUGUGGUCUCCUGGUGGUUUGGCACGAAUGCUGACACCCCGUACUGACUACAGUCUGAUGUUGGCCCCACCUCAUGCUUCGGCCUCCCUGUUUGGCCUCUGCCCUGACCUCCUGUUCUUUGGCUAGCAUCUCUUGCAAUGCGCUCAAGGUGGCACAUCUAUGAAGGUAGUGGCGCUUAUAAACGAAGGCACUCCAUCGGUAGCAGCGGCACUGGCUGGAUAGUGCAGCACCGGUGGGAUAGUCAUUGGCAUCGUUCUUCUCGGGUGUAGUGAGUGCGGGCUGUUCACACCUCCCUGGCGACCGCCAUUUCUAGCUUGGAGAAAUGGUAGUUGGUUGCAUCUAUCACAGAGCAGCAAGGAGCAUCACGUGGGCAGCUGGAAGGGCGGGACACCCAGUCACAUGUGGAAGGAAGUACAUGCAGUGAGUGGGUUACCGGAAGGCACCGGUCUCCAGGAGAGAGAAAGCUAGCAGCUUUUACAGUCAAGUGGGCCUGACAGGGUUGGUCAAACCGAGUUUUUUAGGGUUCUGAUGAGGCUUUUCAGGGUCUAGAAAAGCCCACCUAAAGCCUGAAUGCAUGUGCGGGCAGCAAUGAGCCACGUUGCUUGAAAUAGGUGGGACUGUAGCAAAUUCUGCUAUCUACAGUGGUUGAAGCGUUCUGGGAGC